ACCCCGCCGCGCCCCUUCGGGCUUUUGGGAGCCACUGGGCUUCGGCAAUCGAAAGGGCGGGGCUGGCUGGAUCCUGGGUCUGUUCCUUGGUGCGACCUCUUCGAGGACAGGAAGAAUCGAGAAGGAUUCCCAAGAGCUUGGAGGGUAUGCAGACUUUUCUAGUCUGUGCAGCCAUUUGCAGCUUACAAAAAAGGCUCAGAGCUCUCCAUCACCAUCAGAAAGAAGAGGAAGCUGCAGGCCCUUGUUGCCUGACUCUUGAGUCCAGCUCUCUCAAGAUUGCUGUCACAGCCCACAGCUGUGCAGAGCUUUGCAGUCUGUAGCUUGCAGGGGACUUUGUAUGUAAUAUCUCCAUUGAUUCACCUGGCCACAGUGGGAAGUGAAAAUUAUUGUUCCCCCAUUUCCAGGUGAGAAAGCCUCAAAACUAUGAUACAUCCAUUGAGUUACAAUGAGAUUCAAAGACACACAACUAAUAUGUAUCUGCUGGACCUUGCUAUUGUGCUGGGUUCUGUUAGAUGCAAAGAUAAAUAGGUUUUAGGUUCUUAGGAAUGUAAUGCAUAUAUUUUUUCAGCCCUUUAUAAAAGAUUCCAGGGUGUGGGGAUUCAGAGAAAUGUUGUGGGCCUCAGAGGCAGAAGUAAAGGGCAUUUCUAGAAGUUCUGGGGAAGCUUCUGGAGGAGGGAAUAUUUAAAUUGGGGUUGAGUCAGCCCAGGGGCACCCAUCUGUAAUCUCCUUAGCUCAAGAGGUUGAGACAGGAGGAUUGUGAGUUCAAAGCCAGCCUCAGCAGUGGUGAGGUGCUAAGCAACUCAGCGAGACCCUGUCUCUAAAUAAAAUUCAACAUAGGGCUGGGGAUGGUGCUCAGCGGUAGAGUGCCGCUGAAUUCAAUCCCGGUACCUCCCCCCAAAAAAUUUAGAUUGGGGUUGAAGGCCAUAGAUUUGAACAGGUGGGGAUGGAGAGAUGCCCCCCUGCCCCAUGUCCUUUCCCAGUAUUCUGGGCUUGCCCUUUUAUCACAACUCACCUACUAGACUUUAUGCACCUAAUAGUCAUUUAGCAUUUUUUAUUCAGUGCUAGGGACUGAGUUCAGGGUCUUGCACAUGCUAGGCACUUUUCCACUGAGCUCCAUCACCAGCCCAACACUCAACAUUUGAAUAAAUGAGUAGAAAAAUGAGUGUCUCAGAGGCAGGAUGGGGCCAUGUUAUGGGUGACCUUGGUGAUCAAGAGUCUCUCUUCCAGCUAAGUUGUGGAGGGCCACAAUGUGGGUAGAUGCCUUGUAUGAUUAGGAUGUAGCCAUGAGACAUAUUUUUCUCUUGUUGCAAUGGUCUUGGCAUUCUUUUUAUUUAUUUAUUUUAUUUUUGUUUUCGGCGGAUACAACAUCUUUGUUUGUAUGUGGUGCUGAGGAUCGAACCCGGGCUGCACACAUGCCAGGCGAGCGCGCUACCUCUUGAGCCACAUCCCCAGCCCGCAAUGGUCUUGGCAUUCUGCAUUGAGUGCUUAGUCCUGGACUUUGGGGGAAGGGGAUGAUGCAUAGGAGCCCUUAAUUGGUGAGUUUUUUUUUUGUUGUUGUUGUUGUUUUUUAAUUUUAGUACUGAAGUUUGAACCCAAGGGCGUUUUACCACUAAACUACAUCCCCAGCCCUUUUAACAUUUUUUUUUUUUUUGAGACAGAUUCUCACUCAGUUGUUUUGGAUCUCACUAAAUCACUAAUUUGAGGCUGGCCUCCAAUUUACAAUUCUCCUGUCUUAGCUUCCUGGGUUGCUGAGAUUACCACUGCACCUAGCCAAUUGGUGGGAUCUUUAGAAAUUGUGCAGCCUGGGAGCUAGAAUCACAAUCCUUUGACCAAACUGCUUGGCUAGAUUUUUUUUUUUCUUCUUGCAGUGUUGCUGAUUGAACCCAGGGCUUCCCCAUGUCAUGCAAGGCACUCUGCCACAGAGCUACAUCCUUAGUCCCUUGGCUAGAUUUUUGAAAUAUUCUCAAAGGGUACUGGGUACAAGAGACAUUUGUUACCUCCAAGUUCUUAUUAGGCUUAAAGGACACCUUUAUGCUCUGGUCUUACUCAGGUCCAUGCCUCUGUGGGCAGGUGAAGACAGGUAGAAUCCCUGAGGAUAGCUGUGGUGGUUUCCAUUUUGUAGGUGAGAGCCAAGACCUGCAAGAAGCUCAGUGGAAGCCAGGUGUGGUGGGAACGCCUGUAAUCCUAGCAGCUAGGGAGGCUGAGGCAAGAGUCUCCAAGUUGGAGGCCAGCCUCAGCAAUUUAGCAAGGCCCAAGCAACUUAGUGAGACCUUGUCUCAAAAUAAAAUAUAAAAAGGGCUGGGGAUGUGGACUUGUGGUAAAACUCCUCUGGGUUCCGUCACCUAUACCUAAAUAAAUAAAGAAGAAAGAAAAAGAAACAGGUGAGUGGGUGCCAAACCUCACCCUAGGGAGACGCAGAACUGGGGUCCAUGCCUCCAUAGCAGCCCCUUUCUUGGCCUCAUACUGCCCUCUAGGAAGCCCUCAAGGGCAACCUUAGCCUGUCUGGGGAAACAGAGUCCCUGAGCUGCAUUUUCCAUGGCGGGUUGUUCAGAGGGGAGAGACGGCCAGCCCCAUUACUGGCCUGAUGGCCUCUGCCUUUCCAAAGCAGCCAUCCAUCCUGCCUGGUUGGGUCCAGCCCAGCAGCUUCCGGGACAACUCUUGGGCAUCCGGCCAGCCUGCUCAGCACCUUCUCUCCCUGUCUCUGUCUCGAGCAAUCUGUCUUCCUGUCUGUCCCUCUGUCAGAUCUCUCUCUCUCUCUGUCUCCACCACUGUGUGCCUGUUUCUCCUUCCUAAUCUUUCUUCUGUACCAACAAUAACCUUUGGGCCUCCAGUCCCUCAGGAGUCCUGUUACCCCUGCUCUGACUGGUGCCUCUUUUUUUUUUUUUUCUUUUUCUUUUUUGUACCAAGGAUUAAACCCAGGGGCACUUAACCCCUGAGCCACAUCCCCAGCCCUUUUUAUUUUUUAUUUAGAGACAGGGUCUCACUGAGUUGCUUAGGGCCUUGCUAAAUGGAUGAGGCUGGCUUUGAACUCAGGAUCCUCCUUUGAACUCAUGAUCCUUCAGCCUCCCCAGCCUAGUGCCUCUUCUCAACUGGCAGCGUGAGCCAGUGGGAAGAUUAUAAAGGAGGGGAAUACCACAGUGGAACUCUAGUCUGGUCAAGUCCUUGGCUUCCUCCUCUCUCGGCUUUCUCGUCCUUCCUGAGGCAACCAACCCCAGAGGCCCAAAUUGUCUCCAGAGGAGGAAGGUGUUGCUCAGAGGUCCGAGUUAAAGAGCAGGACAUGUGGUGGCAGGGCCUUUAUCAACGGAAGACUUGAGGGGUGGACAGGUCCAGGCCACAUGCUUCCCUACCAGCCCUGCUGGUCCUGGCAGACGCCCGUCCUCAGGCUCAGAUCUGCAGCUCUGUGAUCUGUCCCUUUUCCCAGAGCCCAGUCCUGGGGGCCCUGAAUUGCAGCUUUCCUAUUUCCCCAGGGCCUGCUUCGCCCUGGGGGACUCCACCUCCAACCACAGGGCCCAGCACCUUCCUCCAGAGCCUCUCAGGGUGAACCUCCUUAAACUUGAGCCUCAGCCCCUGUGUCACCGCCCCCAACUUUCCAAGGCUUCUGUUCAUCUUGGAGGACCUCCCAGAAGGGACACUCCUGACCCUCUGGCACCCCCUGCUCUACUGUCCUCUGCCUGUUCUUGACUGACUCCAAGGCCCCCAAUCCAUAGCCACCUCCUCCUUCCCAACCUGGACUGGUGCUUGGCCAGUUACUCCUUUGAUCUGUUGGGCUCCUUGUCCCCUGUCCCAGCUGACCCCUGGCCUGCUGCAGGUGGUCUGACCUCAAACUUCUCAGCUCCCAGCCCAUACUGCAUAGAGCUACUGGAGAAAACCUCAGGGCUGGGCAGAGGGGCUGCUCAGCACAGGCCUCCAAGCCCAGCUGGUCCCUGAAUGGUCAGUCCUUCCACAGCUUGCUCCCCCACCCUCUCCGGAGGCUCCCGCAAACUGGCAGCCUGUUCUCCAGCCUCCCUCCUCCUCCUGUGACUCAGCAGGUCACUUCAGCUUCUACUACAGUGACACAGGUUCCCAGGAACCUUCCUAUCCACUCCCAAGACCCUCCCACUCACCUUCCAUCUCAGAGGGCCAUCCUCCAGUGCUUCUGGCCUCCCCCACCUCAAAAGAUACUCCCAUCCCCUCUACCCCCAGCCCCUAACCCUCUGGCCUUGGUCUCUCUAGGCUCCAGUAUUUAAGCCAUCCCAGGCCUCUUCUAGGGUAAUGAAACCACCAGCAAUAACAUCUCCCUUCUUCAUCUGACCCGUGAAGCACCUUGGAAAACAAGUCAUCUCCGAAUCUUAACCCUUCAUCUCUCUAUCCCUGCCAUUCUAAUCUAAGAUAAUUGGGCCCCAUCAAAAAGGCACUUGCCAGCUGGGUGUGGUGGUAUAUGCCUUAUAAUCCCAGUGACUCAGGAGGCUGAAGAAGGAGGAUUGCAAGUCUGAGGCCAGCAUCAGCAACUUAACAAGGCCCUGAGCAACUUAGAGACCCUGUUUUUAAAUAAAGUAUAAAAAAGGGGUUGGGGAUAUAUGUAGGUCAGUGAUAAAGUGCCCCUGGGUUCAAUCCCCUGUACCCUCCCCCAAAAUGGCACUUGCCAAGGUCAACAGAGGUGCCCUAAGUCAUGAAAAGGCCUUCUCUUCUGUCCUUACAGACUUUUCUGGAGCCAUUUGUGUGGUCCCUGGGACACAUGGACCCCUGGUCCUCCCAUCGUAUCCUCCAGGUCUCCUUGUGAGUUUACCUUCCUUGGCCUGUCCCCAUUACUCAUCCCUUUCUCUUUCAGUCUUCCUGGGCCCCAGGCUUCACCUCCUACGGAGAACUCCAAUUUCUUUUCCCAGCUCCAGCCUGGGCAUCCCACUCGGGUACCUGUUCACACCCAGCAGUUUCCACUUGUCUUUCCCUAAACCUGGCCUAGUAAAGCAGAUGGGACCCUCCCCAUGCACCUGUUUUCAGAGAAGUCUCCUUCCUGUCCCAGCUGCCAUGUCUUCCAAACCCAACCCCCAACCAGGCUCCCCUAGGAGGAGCUAGCAAAGAUCCUCCAUUAAGGAAUUUCUUCCUCUGGUCUCAUCCCUGUCCCGUCCACCCUCUAUCCUGCUGCCAAGUGACUGUUCUAAAAUGCAAAGCUAAUGGGGCUGGGGAUGUGGCUCAAGUGGUAGCGCGCUCGCCUGGCAUGCGUGUGGCCCGGGUUCGAUCCUCAGCACCACAUACAAACAAAGAUGUUGUGUCCGCCGAGAACUAAAAAAUAAAUAUUAAAAAAUUCUCUCUCUCUCUCUCUCUUAAAAAAUAAAAUAAAAUAAAAUAAAAUGCAAAGCUGAAAAUCCCUUGUGGCUGAAGCAUGGGAAGGACCAUCAGCGUCUAGUUCAUCCUCAGGCUCCCAGCCUUGGUCUCUGAGGACCUCUUUAUUUCUCCUACUCUGCUCCACCCCCAGAACCCAGGAAAUUCCCUCGAUGUCACUGGUAGCUAGGAAAUCCCCUGGAUCCCACUGAGCACUUCUUAUCUCAAGUUCGGAGGACUUAGGCAAGGGCAGGAAAAGGCAAAGAUUUUAUCAUUAACCCAAGUGGCUUGUCUUGAGCUUCUGGAUCAUUGAAUCCUUCAGGAUCUGAGAGAAGUCAUUUGGUUAAGGUUAUUCAGGAAGAAGUCCUUGGUGCAGCCAGGUCUCCAGUUCCAUUGGCUGUUCAGGCUCCUGCAUCCAAUAUGGAGGCUGUGGCCUUGGCAGUACCCUGGUAACCACUUUCCUUCCAACCUCCCCAGUAGGCCUGUGGCUCUGGGUCUCCAUCGUGCUGUGAGUGAGCUGGCCCCUGGACUUCUCACUCAGACCCUCCCAGCCCUACCUUUCUCUGCCUCCUCUCAGAGCUAGAGGGGGAGACCAACCCCAGCUGUGUGCAGAGACCCAGGCUUGCCUCUGUUGCUUCUGAAAAGAGGCCAACAGAGACUUCUGGAUGGUAGGAUAAGGAUCAAGAGACAGGAGAAUCUGGUUUAUGACCCCAGGCUCCAGCUGUGGGACCCCAGUAGAUUACAUAACCUCGCUGUGCCUUGGACUCCUCCUCCUGGAGUGCCUGCCUGUGGUUUGAUUGGAAAUUCACAUUCACCAAAUUCAUAUGUGAUGGUACUUGGUGGUACAACCUUUGGAGGUAAUUAGGAUUCCCUGAGGUCAUGAGGAUGAGCCCAUGAUGGCCUUAGGGGAUUUAUAAUUAGAGGAAGAGAGAACUGAGCCAAUACAUGCAUGCACCAUCCUGCUACUUAAUGCCCUUGGCCAUGGUUUGAUGCAACAAGAAGGCCCUCACCAAAUGCCAAGCAGAUGCUGGUGUCAUGUUUCAUAUUCUUGGACUUCUCAGCUUUCGGAACUUCAGCCGAAUAAACUUCUAUUCUUUAUAAA